rnacentral:rRNA from 1 species
GAUGAACGCUAGCGGCAGGCCUAACACAUGCAAGUCGAGGGGCAGCACAGAAACAGCAAUGUUUUGGUGGCGACCGGCGGACGGGUGCGUAACGCGUAUGCAACCUACCUUUAACAGGGGGAUAACGGAGAGAAAUUUCCACUAAUACCCCAUAACAUCGAUCAAGGCAUCUUGAUUGGUUGAAAACUCCGGUGGUUAAAGAUGGGCAUGCGUUGUAUUAGGUAGUUGGUGAGUUAAUGGCUCACCAAGCCUACGAUACAUAGGGGGACUGAGGGGUUGGCCCCCACACUGGAACUACAAACCGAACAAGCCUCCUACGGGAGGCAGCAGGGAGAAAUAUUGGGCAAUGGGGCCAACCCUGAACAAGCCAUGCCGAGUGCAGGAAGACGGCUCUAUGAGUUGUAAACUGUUUUUAAACAGGGAAAAAGCACAGUAUGUAUACUGUGUUGAAGGUACUGUAAGAAUAAGGAUCGGCUAACUCCGUGCCAGCCGCCGCAGUAA